rnacentral:rRNA from 1 species
CAAUAGCGUAUAUUAAAGUUGUUGCGGUUAAAAAGCUCGUAGUUGGACCUUGGACCUGGACAGGCGGUCCGCCUCACGGCGAGUACUGUCUUGCUGGGUCUUUCCUCUUGGUGAUCUGUUGUUUCGGCAGCAGGGAACCAGGACCUUUACUUUGAAAAAAUUAGAGUGUUCAAAGCAGGCUCGACGCCGGAAUAUAUUAGCAUGGAAUAAUAAGAUAGGACGUGCGGUUCUAUUUUGUUGGUUUUUGGAAUCGCCGUAAUGAUUAAUAGGGACAGUCGGGGGCAUUAGUACUCACAUGCUAGAGGUGAAAUUCUUGGAUUUUGUGAAGACUAACUUCUGCGAAAGCAUUUGCCAAGGAUGUUUUCAUUAA